UGCCGCGUGUGUGAAGAAGGCCUAUCGGGUUGUAAAGCACUUUUAUCAGGAACGAAAUACCACGGGUUAAUACCCUAUGGGGCUGACGGUACCUGAGGAAUAAGCACCGGCUAACUUCGUGCCAGCAGCCGCGGUAAUACGAAGGGUGCAAGCGUUAAUCGGAAUUACUGGGCGUAAAGGGUGCGUAGGCGGUUAGUUAAGUCUGUCGUGAAAUCCCCGGGCUCAACCUGGGAAUGGCGAUGGAUACUGGCUGGCUAGAGUGUGUCAGAGGAUGGUGGAAUUUCCGGUGUAGCGGUGAAAUGCGUAGAGAUCGGAAGGAACAUCAGUGGCGAAGGCGGCCAUCUGGGACAACACUGACGCUGAAGCACGAAAGCGUGGGGAGCAAACAGGAUUAGAUACCCUGGUAGUCCACGCCCUAAACGAUGCGAACUGGAUGUUGGUCUCAACUCGGAGAUCAGUGUCGAAGCUAACGCGUUAAGUUCGCCGCCUGGGGAGUACGGUCGCAAGACUGAAACUCAAAGGAAUUGACGGGGGCCCGCACAAGCGGUGGAGUAUGUGGUUUAAUUCGAUGCAACGCGAAGAACCUUACCUGGCCUUGACAUGUCCGGAAUCCUGCAG
rnacentral:rRNA from 1 species